CAGUAGCCGCGGUAAUACGAAGGGUGCAAGCGUUAAUCGGAAUUACUGGGCGUAAAGCGUGCGUAGGCGGUUUGUUAAGUCUGUUGUGAAAUCCCCGGGCUCAACCUGGGAAUGGCAAUGGAUACUGGCAUGCUAGAGUGUGUCAGAGGAUGGUGGAAUUCCCGGUGUAGCGGUGAAAUGCGUAGAGAUCGGGAGGAACAUCAGUGGCGAAGGCGGCCAUCUGGGACAACACUGACGCUGAGGCACGAAAGCGUGGGGAGCAAACAGGAUUAGAUACCCGGGUAGUCCCUGUCUCUUAUAA
rnacentral:rRNA from 1 species